UACGUAGGGGGGCAAGCGUUGUCCGGAAUCAUUGGGCGUAAAGAGCGUGUAGGCGGCCCGAUAAGUCCGCUGUGAAAGUCCAGGGCUCAACCCUGGAAUGCCGGUGGAUACUGUCGGGCUCGAGUUCGGAAGAGGUGAGUGGGAAUUCCUGGUGUAGCGGUGAAAUGCGCAGAUAUCAGGAGGAACACCAAUGGCGAAGGCAGCUCGCUGGGACGGUACUGACGCUGAGACGCGAAAGCGUGGGGAGCAAACAGG
rnacentral:rRNA from 1 species